CUUACCCAAAAAAAAAAUUCUGAAACGCUUCUUACUAACGUUUUUCUUUUGUUUCUUUUCUCCUUCGCUGCACCGUUUCUCUCUAGGGUUUCCAAAUUGACAGAGAGGCCGAGACUGUGAUCCUGUGUGUUUCAAUGUUAGAGCCACUCUAACGUUUGUUCUUCCUUGACGUUUCCAGCAUCGUUUGGCAGUUCUAUAAAACCUUUGUCAUCUUUCUUCCCCAAUUGAUGCUGAUAUGAUCCUUCUUCACAUGGUUAUAGUCAGAUUUGACACUGCGGCAUCUUCAUCCCUUUCCUCUGAAGCUCACCUGUCAUGUUCUAUUAUGUUCCAAAGAGGAUCUGGACCAAAAAAGGAAAGAUCAGAAGGAGGUUCUUUUGAGCUGUUUCACCCCUCUCUCUAUUGCUACGGUUGGUUUGUUACCAACAAUUUCGCUUCCAUGGUUACAAUAUCUUAGGGGGCGUUUGUUUCACGGAUUGGAAAAGGAUUCCCGGGAAUGUUUGGGCCGGAAUCUACAUUCCAGUGUUUGGUAGCAGAUUUGAAAAAAAUAUACCCGGUCACAAGAGGAAAUUGGUUGCAGAAAUAGAAGCUUUGGUUGCCCCUUUACAUCUUGAAGUUUUCCUUACUAUCACCGGCAGAUCUUUUAUUUUGAGGUCCACAUCAAUCUAUCACAUUAACACCCCUAAGUACCCAACCAAGACCCCAUUGACACACCAAACCCUAAUUGGUUUCCGCUCUCUUUCAACUCAAGUGGUUCAUAACCAGAUGUUGAGUGUGAAGGAUAUCCAAAAGAUCACCAAGGAAUGAAGAUGGUUGCUGCCUUCAAGCUACAAGUAUGUUUAAUGAUAGGGAUGGUGAGACCAUUAAUAGAACCCAAAGUUACAAAAAGGUGGCAUUUGCUUACCCUGAAAACCCGAAGAGCUGCAAGAUGAUGGAAGAACCCUUUAACAUGGACAAGCUAGAAUCUUAUUUUGGUGGGAAGAAUACAGUUGGAUUUAACUAUCAAGCUUAUGCUGCCUUUUUUCCAUGCUUCCGCUGCUGUUGAGUGCAAGUUAAUUUUGUUACCUGGAUGCUUUCAUUUUAAUUUCCCCUUUACGGCUGUUACCAUUGUUGAUUGUUUUGGUGUGUGUUCAAUAUUGUGAAGUCAAGUAAGAUGACGCAGCAAAAGAGAGAGCUAUAGAAAGUAGACUUUGACCUCCAUGUUUGAUGUUUGGUUAGAUUUGAGUUGUCACCUUGAAGUUGUUUAUGAGUGAUCGGACUAUACCAUUCAGGAUAUGAGUUUUUGACGUAGAAAGUGGUUUGCCAUUAUCACCAUUCCCAUUUUCAUCAGGAACUUCAUUUGACUAUUUCAUUGACUUCCUUGGUAUUAAGAGAGUCAAGUCAUCUUUCUGAGCACAAUAGGAUUUUGUAGUUCGGUGUCUGGAUUAUUAUGUAAAAUUUUCACAAAACCAUACUACCAUUAAGAUAACAUGAUGUUUUUCAAACAUUUUCUCAGUGAGAUGAAAUUAUGAGAAGAACAAACAUAAGGGACAUAUCCAAAUAUAAAAAUCAUGAUAGUGACAUAAUUUACAGUAUAUAGGUUUAGAUUCUUGGUCCCAACGUGUAUGUACUCAAGGGGAGAUAGCUAAGUG